CCGGCAUGGGUGAGUAACGCGUAUGCGACCUGCCCGUUGCAGGGGGAUAAUCGGGAGAAAUCCCGUCUAAUACCGCGUAACGCCGCGGGGCUGCAUGGCCCUGCGGCCAAAGGGAGCGAUUCCGGCAACGGAUGGGCAUGCGUGACAUUAGCUAGUUGGCGGGGCAACGGCCCACCAAGGCGACGAUGUCUAGGGGUUCUGAGAGGAAGGUCCCCCACACUGGUACUGAGACACGGACCAGACUCCUACGGGAGGCAGCAG
rnacentral:rRNA from 1 species